rnacentral:tRNA from 1 species
GAAAAUAUAGCUUAUUAAAGCUCUUCGCUGUAAACGGAUAUGAUACAGGUUAAAGUCCUCUUAUUUUCA